rnacentral:rRNA from 1 species
UACGUAGGGGGCAAGCGUUGUCCGGAUUCAUUGGGCGUAAAGAGCGUGUAGGCGGCCAGGUAGGUCGGUUGUGAAAACUGGAGGCUCAACCUUCAGAGGUCGACCGAAACCAUCUGGCUAGAGUCCGGGAGAGGAGACUGGAAUUUACGGUGUAGCAGUGAAAUGCGUAGAUAUCGUAAGGAAGACCAGUGGCGAAGGCGAGUCUCUGGACAGUUACUGACACUGAGGCACGAAGGCCAGGGGAGCAAACGGG